AUAUUAUGCUUCCUACCAGUAUCAGUAUCUAUAGUGCUGUACAUUAUAUUUUGGCAUACUAUUUAUUACAGUUACAUGCUGAUUUUGAUGUAGCCAAACAAACUAGCCACUACGUAUGUAUAAGCAUGUGAAUGUGUAUAAGCACUCUGUUCAGCCAGGUAAUUGCUGAAAGCUACAGCAGUUGAGAAGAAAUUAAGAAAUAAUGAGAAGAAGUUAAGAAAUUUUUAAUCUUUUUAGUGUCGCUUGUUUUGAGGUUUCUCUUCUCCUGCACUGAUUAGCUAGACUGGACAGCCAAUCAGAGAAAGCUUUCUUGCAAGCCUCCAAUGUCCAUUCAACAUGCUCAGUCGGCACUGACAGGCUUUGACAAGGGCUGACUAGUGCCAACAGCAGGCGACAACUGGCCCUACCACCUCACUCUUUUGUCUCAGUGGAGUAAACCACAUGAGAGUGAUUGAAAUGGAGAAAAGAAACAGAAAUAAAUUUAAUCAAGACUGUUCUUUUAGCGUUCUUGUUAAACAUUCAUCCCUACAGGAGAUUAUUGGGCCUUAGUUACACGAGGAAAUGGUGAAAUGAAGAGAGAUUUGUGAUAGGUAUGGGGAAAAAAAGGAAGGAUUUUUUAUUACACCAACAUUGCUGUUUAUUGACUGACUGGAUGAGAUGCAGAUACUGGCAAUUUGGACAGCUCUACAGCAUUAGAGAAUGAAAACACACUUUCUCCCUAAUUAUAUGGCCUUUGCCUUGGCAGACUGGGGUUAUGAUAAUUUUGUUAUUUUUAGUUAAUUGUUUCCAGUGUGCAAGUUCAGUGACAUAAAAGGGCUUGCCAUGUUUUUAAUCUAGAAGACGACGGUUUAAAAGGAAUGGCGAUGUGCUCUAAUGACAUGAGAGCCAAUCAUAUGCUCACUUUUCACACAGGAGGCAAAGCAAAUAAACCACACUGGGCUAGAUUGCUUCUCUCCCUAAAACCGACUCUUUGAGAGGCUGUUGUGUAAGCAUGUGUGGUUCUUUGUGUGUGUUCUCAUGUUCAUGCGUGUGUGAGAAAGGGAAAAAAACAGACAACAAGUGGUUGUGCGUGGCCUAUGUGCAUGUAUGUACAUGCAUUUGUGAGUGUGUGUCUUCUAACAUUUAAUUUCGAGUGUAGAAGAGCAGUAAAGCAGGUAUGUGAGGAGGCAGGGUGUGGUCCAGGCCAGUCAAGCAGGUCAAGCAUGUGACCAGUGCCAGAGGUGGAGGGUGUGGAGGGAACCAGAGAUUCUGGGAAAAGCGUGAGAGAGAUAAGCAGAGCAGGGGCCAAACGGCUCCGAGCCAGCGUCAGGUACAAAGUAUGCCUGGGGGAGACGACCAGAGGGUUCCGGAAUGUUGACCACACUGACCCGAGCCAUUUAGCAUGAUAAGUAAUGGACACCUGUGCCCACCCCCAGCAUUCCUCACAAGGCUGGGAGCACCAAAAGAUACAAUCACUGGCUCCAAACACAGCUUACCAGAGCAGGAGUACAGAGGGGAAGCGCUACUCAGCAUGAUGGAUAUCCCUCACCUGUCAGACGGCGAUCUCUGGCUGGACAGUGCUUGCCUGACCUUGGCUAUGUCAUGCCUCUUACGCCCAUGUGCACACACACCACAGACAACACUGAAGAAAAUGUAAGUAAUGAGCCGCCAAUCCACAGCAAUAACAGACAUUGAAAAGGGUGAAGAAUGAAGUAUUGAUGUCAUAGUAACUUGGCCAUGAUAGCUCAGUGUUAUGCAACACAUACAUAUGUGUCGCAUAACAAACAGCAUAAUUUCAAGCUUGAAAUUUGUAAAAUAAAAGUCUAGAAAUAGGUUUAAUAAUCUUAUAUUUGGUUUAUUGUAUUCUUAUAGCAGGAAAUACUAUGUAAAUUUGACUAUAUUAAAAUUAUAUUCACUUCCUAAGAUUUUUUGUAGCGUAAGCAUGAGAGACAAAGUUAAGAUAAUUAUAACUAGUGCAGCAAGAGAAUAUGGUGUGUGGAACUUCAACCAGAGUUGGUAUUAAUACUCUUAACUGUGUAAAUGCAUUAUUUAGAUUAAAGCCAAUAUGUGAUUUUUUGCAUCUGCGGAAUUUCAUUUUCCAGAAGUUCAGAAAUGUAACAAUGACAAACUCCAAACUGGCUCAAUAAACACAAACUUUAAUGGGGCCUCUCCUCCUUUCAGAAGCUUAUGUUGAGCCAGACAUAUUGUAGAGCAUGAAAGGGUAAGAGAGACCAGGGUUCAACUUGAUCAUGUAGCGUGCCGAGUUCAAAACAUGCCCCUUGGAUGAGCAAACAUGCUUGGUGGGGGCUGUCUGUGUGGGAUGGGGUUUUUUGAUGGGGUGCAGGGGAUACAAGGCGGGAGGAGUUCCAUAAUCCUUCCCCCAGACAUGCAAGUUCCUUCAGACACUUCCUUUCUAGAGGGCCGCACCAGAAAAGGUGUUCAGUCAUGUGAAACUUAAUCUGCAACCCUGCCACCACUGACCUCUCACCCUGACUGCCUUUAGCCUUAGAGAGAGGGAGAGGGUGUUGAGUGAGAGAGAGAAGAGGGACUGUGGGUGGAGGAGAAAAGGACAGAGAGAGGGAAAGGACCUUGAAGUUGUAAAAUAAAGAUGCAAUGCCCUUUUGGAAUUUGUUACAGGACAGGAAAAAUGCUCGCGGCGCAUUUUUAGUGUAUUCUUUCAUUUGUGCAUGUUUGUGUGUGCGCGUGUGUGUUUUUGUGUGCAUACAUAGGAGAGCUAGUGCCAAAACAGUCUGAGGCUGCAGACAAAGUGCAUGGGGGUCACCUUAACACAAAACAGUGUGUGUACUAGACAUAACAUGCAGCCUGCAUUCCCUAGCUGAGACGUGGCCAUGCUGCUCCUCUCCCUCUCCCCCUGCAGCCAUUAUCAACUGGGCUGAAAAACCUCUGUGGCUCAACUUUAGCUGUCCUCUAUGAUUACCUGUUUUUUCUCCACUUUUCCAUAGCGAAGGUGACCCUGCUGGUUCGGCUCCGCAGCAGCAAUUAACCUGGCCUGCCCCAUGUCCUUUCCUCAGCUGAGCAGGAGCGACACGUGUUAGCAGUGGCCACAGACAGGCUUAGCUGAGAGUGUGAGAGUGUGUGUGAGGAUGCCUGUUUGAGAACUUCUACACCAUCACAACCACAACACAAUCUAUUAUAGUCGGAGAAAAUAGAUAAUACUUUCCUUAAAACUCCCAGUGCCUAUACUACUAUAGUCAAAUCAGAUCUACAUACACAGAAAAGGCUUAGAUUUCUUUAGCCAUUUAAGCUAGAAUUAGGUUUUCCACCAACAGCUAGUUAUAUUCUGGAGGACAGAGCAAAGAAGUUAGAGCUCUGUCUUCUCUGGCAACAGUCCUGACUCUCUGACCUUUAAACUCUAAACCAGGGCAGUACCCCUCCCCCAAUCUUUGGCAAACACACACAUACACACCCUCCCCUUGCCCUACAAUCUCCAUAGUCUGAACUUUAUCUCAGUUGUCCACACCUUGCAUUCCAGCCUUCCUUGUCUAUCUAUAGACUUUAGACUCUUCACCUCUGCAAACAGCCUGGACUAAAGCAAGGCCAGUUAUUAUUCUGUCACACCAAAUGGUGUGAAAGACAGAGAGAAAGGAGGGGUGGGGUGAGUUUAUCGUAGAGGCCAAACAGAGAUGACCAUAUGAUGCUAUAAAACUCUGAUAAGAUAAUGAACUUCCACCUCAGAUACCUCCACCUCAGAUACCUUCCACCUCAGAUAACCCAAGUCCAACCUGCAAAAAGUGUGUCCAAGUGCAGCAAGAGAGAGUGCGUGUCUGUAAGUUACCCAUGCAGAAAUUAGUUCCCUAUUUUCAAAAAUACAAGUAAUUCUUUAUGCAAUAAGUGUGUGUGUGUGUGUGUGUGUGUGUGUGUCUGUGUGUGCUUCAGACUCUGUUUAUUCAAUCCUAAAGGGCAUUGCAAUCUCCACAACAAAGUGUUCACCUGGGAUCAAUCACUUAGCUUAUUAAAGCACUCAUAUUCAAACUAUGCUGCUGCCUUGUGCAUGUUUCCCUCCUUUGCACCAUUUGUGAUUAAUUAUCCCACACAAAUCUAAUCAUGGCGCACACAUGGCUGCUCCUAACUAUCUAUCUAUUGUCCUGCACUUGAGGGGGAAAACAGAACAGUGAAGUGAAUGAUUCCUUCUUUAAUGAGAUUGGAGUAGGGGCCAAAGUUGCAGAGGCAUUGAUCGACCCCCAUUCACAAAGCAGGUGUCCAUCCCUAUAGACUCCCUGAGACUUAACAAUUCACAGGAAAAAAGUUACGGGUAGUGGAGCAAAGUAGGUGGAGGGGUGACAAGAUGUUAUCUCAAAUGCUUAUUGGAACAAGGACAAAAUGACACUUGACUGAAUGGUGUCUAAUCUACAGCCCAUGUGCACCAUUUGUGAAAUGCCAGAAAAGUUAUUUUAAAAAUAAAAUUUCAGUUAGUACACUGUUACAAAAGUUUUGGAAGUCUUUCCCCUGGUCCAAAUGUUAAUUUAAAAGUUAACCUACAUUAAAGGUGAGGACAGUAUUUUUUAAAUCAGCAAUAUUUUGCAGGUUUCUCCUUGUAUUUAGUUAUCACUAAAAUAUACACUGAUCAGCCAUAACAUUAUAACCGCCUGCCUAAUAUUGUGUAAGUCUCCCUUGUGCCAGUGAAACAGCUCUGAACCAUCAAGGCAUGGACUCCACAAGACCUCUGAAGUUGUGCUGUGGUAUCUGUCACCAAGACGUUAACAGCAGAUCCUUUAAGUCCUGUAAGUUGCAAGGUGGGGCCUCCAUGGAUUGGACUUGUUUGUCCAAGGAUUGUCAAAUUGGAUUGAGAUCUGGGGAAUUUGGAGGCCAAGUCAACACCUUGUAACACCUUUGUCAUGUUCCUCAAUCCAUUCCUGAACAAUUUUUGCAGUAUGACAGGGUGCAUUAUCUGCUGAUAGAGGCCACUGCCAUUAGGGAAUUCUGUUGCCAUGAAGAGAUGUACUUGGUCUGCAACAUUGUUUAGGUAGGUGGUACAUGUCAAAGUAAUAUCCACAUAAAUGCCAGGACCCAAGGUUUCCCAGCAGAAUAUAACCCAGAGCAUCACACUGCAUCCACCAGCUUGCCUUCUUCAUAGUGCAUCCUGGUGCCAUCUCUUCCCCAGGUAAGCGAUGUACACGCACCCGGCCAUCGAUAUGAUGUAAAAGAAAACAUGACUCAUCAGACCAGGCCACCUUCUUGCAAUUCUCCAUGGUCCAGUUCUGCUCACAAGCCCAUUGUAGGUACUUUCAGCGGUGGACAGGGGUCAGCAUGGACACUCUGACUGGUCUCCGGCUACCCAGCCCCAUACACAGCAAGCUGUGACAGAACACCUUGCGUUCUGACACCUUUCUACCAUAGCCAGCAUUAACUUUUUCAGCAAUUUGUGCUGCUAUAGCUCUUCUGGUGGUUCAGACCAGAUGAGCUAGCCUUCGCUCCCCACACGCAUCAGUGAGCCUUGGGCGUACAUGACCCUGUCGCCGGUUCACCAGUUGUCCUUCCUUGGACUACUUUUGGUAGGUACUAACCACUGCAUACCAGGAACAUCCCGCAAGACCUGCUGUUUUGGAGAUGCUCUGACCCAUUCUUCUAGCCAUCACUUUUUGGCCCGUGUCCAAGUCACUCAGAUCCUUAUGCUUGUCCAUUUUUCCUGCUUCCAACACAUCAACUUCAAGAGCUGAAGUUCACUUGUUGCAUAAUAUAUCCCACCCCUUGACAGGUGCUAUUGUAACAAGAUAAUCAGUGUUAUUCACUUCACCUGUCAGUGGUUUUAACGUUAUGGUUGAUUGGUGUAUGUUCAAGGGAAAAAGUCCCCAAUACCCAACCUAUGUAAAUAGAUACAAAAAAAAAUGGUGUGGAUCUCCAACAUCCAACCAAAUAUGGAUGUGUCUCUACUUGCUUGUCAAUUCAGGAAGCAGAGUUUUGGUGGUGUAGAUUUGGAGGAAAUACUGUAAUAAGGUGUGGCUAUAUAGCUUCAGCUAGCUUCAGCAAAAAUCGCUAUUCUAUACCUUUCAUUUUACCAAGCUUUCUGAAAAGAAAUAAAAAAACAGAUAGUGAAUUUUGGAGACUUUGAAAAGUGAAGUUUGGAGAGAUGCAUAUUUAUUUAAUUUGUCAGAGCUUAGCUUGCUGUACUAAAAAUGUAUCUAAUGAGUGAAAUCUGUGAAAUCUUUAUUUACACAACGCUAAUCAAGCACACAGCAGACAACAAGUGCUUAAGACUCCUCACUUAGUAAGCUAUUUGCUUAAAUUAAUAAGCAAUGUGAUGGUGGCAAUCAUGUCUGUUAUUUAUUCCUUUACUGUAAUUAUUGCAGAUAGCCUGUGGCCAAUGACAUUAUUUUUUGCUCCAUCUAGCCCCAAUAAGAAAAGUUUGGACACUCCUGGCUUUAACUGUACUAACCUGGAAAGUCAGUGUCAAAGGUUUUUGUGAGAGUAAACUCUUAUAAAAGAGUGCAGCCAUUGGUAAUGCAUGAUUAAUGCCUAUUUCAUUCACUGUGCUGUAAAUGUCCAGCAGAGCACAAGUAAAUUCUAACUUUAACUCUGCGGUCAGUGUCCAUUAAGAUGCAUUUACUUUGUUCUCUUGCCCUAUGCACCUUCCUACACCGCAGAAUGAAUUAAACAAAGCUAGAAAUGACUGCCAUAGUGGAAAUGAAGCAUGACCAUUUCAGGCCCUUAUAAUAGAGCAUUAAUGUGUAGUCUAUACCACAAACACUACACAAUAAAAGGCAACAGUCAGUAAAGUUAACUUUUUGUCAGCAGUCUCAUCCUGUAUUGGGCAAAGCUUGGAGAAAGAGCUUUCUGCACACCAUAAAGAGGGUCAUCCAGGAUGACUUCUGAUUUUUAUUUUUCCUAUAACUACACCUUUGGGCCAAUUCUACACAGACACACAGAAAAGGAACCUCAACCCACAGCAUUCAUUUUUUUUUCUAAGGGACUGGAGAAUUCUGUACUAUAAAACACUGAAAAAAAUGAAGCCCAUUUUCUGGGGAUUCUGGGUUAAUUUUUAACUGUGACAAAUGUGUUCAGCUCCUCACAUAAAAACAAUAUUGAAUCUCAGUAAACAUGAUGAGAGCCUGGUGACUCAAAAGUUUUUAAGCCUGCUAAUUUAUUUCAAAUAGAGGAAAAUAUCACUGAUUUGUUUUAUUCACCUGUCCUUCCUGUCCUUCCAUAUCUGUGUAGAGAGCUAUAUAGUUUGAACAAGGUAAAAAUGGAUAGAGCUGUUAGCGGGAGGAAUAAAAUGGUGCUGAUUGGCAAGGAAUGAGCUUCAGGUCUCACCCACGUAGCAGAAUACAAUAGAACCUAAAUAGAAGUGGACUUUACUUGUGUAUGGAGUAGAAUUUAAAUAAUUCCAUGUUUUGGUCUGAUUUGAAUGAGCAUGGAUUUUGAGGAAAAGUAAACAAUAUGAAGCACUGGAGAGGUUUACUACCAGCAUUUCAUUCAACAAAUGUCAAUUUUUAAUGGUGAAUAUUAUACUAGACAGGCUUUCAUUACCUUUAUCUCAAAUCAACAAAUCUUGCUAUUUAGAACACAAUGGACUCUCUGUGUAAUUUUAAAACGAUGCAUAUGUGUGUAUCUGGACUGGUGGUUUCCAUUGAGAGAGAACAAGACAAGUAAGCCUGACUAAACUGCUCUUUUUAUCUGAGGGCGAAGGAAGUGUGAUACAAUAGUGUCAUGACCAAAUGACGGUAAACCCACCUUAACUAUAAAGCAAAUUUGAACAAGGGUA